CAGCCGCCGCGGGAAUACGAAGGGGGCUAGCGUUGCUCGGAAUGACUGGGCGUAAAGGGCGCGUAGGCGGGUGGCACAGUCAGAUGUGAAAUUCCCGGGCUUAACCUGGGGGCUGCAUCUGAUACGUGUUGUCUAGAGUGAGGAAGAGGGUCGCGGAAUUCCCAGUGUAGAGGUGAAAUUCGUAGAUAUUGGGAAGAACACCGGUGGCGAAGGCGGCGACCUGGUCCUUUACUGACGCUGAGGCGCGAAAGCGUGGGGAGCAAACAGGAUUAGAUACCCCAGUAGUCCCUGUCUCUUAUAC
rnacentral:rRNA from 1 species